rnacentral:rRNA from 1 species
AUUGAACGCUGGCGGCAUGCCUUACACAUGCAAGUCGAGCGGCAGCGCGGACUUCGGUCUGGCGGCGUGUGGCGAACGGGUGAGUAACACAUCGGAACGUACCCUGUUGUGGGGGAUAACUAGUCGAAAGAUUAGCUAAUACCGCAUACGACCUGAGGGUGAAAGUGGGGGACCGGAAACGGCCUCAUGCAGCAGGAGCGGCCGAUGUCUGAUUAGCUAGUUGGUGGGGUAAAGGCCCACCAAGGCGACGAUCAGUAGCUGGUCUGAGAGGACGAUCAGCCACACUGGGACUGAGACACGGCCCAGACUCCUACGGGAGGCAGCAGUGGGGAAUUUUGGACAAUGGGGGCAACCCUGAUCCAGCAAUGCCGCGUGUGUGAAGAAGGCCUUCGGGUUGUAAAGCACUUUUGUCCGGAAAGAAAUCGCGCUGGUUAAUACCUGGCGUGGAUGACGGUACCGGAAGAAUAAGCACCGGCUAACUACGUG